UUCACUCCUAACUGACCAAUUCCUUAUUUUUCACUAUCAAAAUUUUUUUUCAGCAACUUCACAAUUAUACAUCACACCAUCGCUUCACUACUUUUUUUGCCUUUACAUCCGAAACACGAGAUGAUUCUGAAUUAUUUUGUACAAAAUCACUAUCGCACACCAUUCUCUGAAACUCAAAAGUUUUCCAAAUAUCAGAGUUAUUUACGACUAGCCUCCUACGGGUCAUAGAACUUUGUACAGCUCGUAAGUUGGUUACUCUACAUACAACAUAUCCCAAAAAAAUCAAUUACAAUUCACUACGACAACAUACCAAAUAAGUCCACCAAUCCGCCUUUUGAUUACUUACAACAAGACCCAGUUUCAUAGGUCCAUUUUCCUUUUUCAGAACCCACAAAAAAACAAAUCCAUACAUACAUACACUGCAUACAUACAUCUACGCGCCCCCACCCCCUUUUCUAUUCACGUCUUCUUCACGAAGAACAGUCCAAGCACGACGCAAUACCCCAAUCCCUUCAUCAAACGACAUUGCAUCUCACCAUGCUCCCGAAUUUGUACGUAAUCUGCAUGCCUAGCAUGAGAACCGUACCAUCUGAAGCUUCCAAGAAUCUCACCUCAACAAUUUUCUCCUCCAGGUGUCCCCUCUCCUAUUGGAAAUUUGAGGAAUCCAUUUCAAUUUGUACGGAUUUCAACCUUAUUCUUCGAAAAAUUCUGUUUUUUCUUCAAGUCCCAUAUUGGUUGGGAAUUUCAAAAUCGCCCAGAUUUUUACCUAUAUAAAUCCUAUUUUUCUCACUAUUCAGAGGGGAAUUUUUUAUUUUGAGGGACACCCAAAAAGGCUAGGAAUUUUCUUUACUUGGCUAGAAUUUUGGACUCUUAUCUUAUCCCAGUCUGAAAAUUGUGGAAAUCCUUAGCUUCCAGUUCAUUUUUUUCUUCUUUCUAUUGUUGUAAGCUGAUUUCGGAGGGGGAUCCAAGCUUCAUCGGAGCUCGUCGUCCUCAAGCCUCAUCCCAGUCCACUUCCAUCAAAGAGGCUUCGGGCUAAGCCCAAACUGACUUCAUCGAGUCAACCUUUUCAUUUUUUGUUCAAACAAGAAAAGCAAAUAUACAGGGAGAGGAAGCUGUUAUGCAGAUUUCGGAGAACGAAACAGAUGCGAACGAAUUGGUAUGUAGCUGGUAUACAUCCAGUAUACACUAGAAUACACAAUGUGUAUACAUUAAAUGUGUAGAUGCACAUAAAUGGGCCAAAAGGCCCAAAUACAGUAGCAGUUGAUUUUGAGAGAGAAAGGGCUAGAAAGCCCAAAUGCAGGAGCAAAACUUGAUUGAGUUUGGCUCUAAAAGGAUCGAAAUUUAGCCGAUUUGAAUAUUUAUUUGUUGUAUUUUUAUGCUAGAUUAGUUUUAACUUUAACUCUAGUUUAACUUAAUUUAAUUCCCUAAAAGAGGAGCUAAUUUCUUUUGUAUUGGUUCAUUUAUUUAAAUGAUUUUAUCAACCCUUCUCUU